UGCUAGUGUAUGCAAUAGUGUCAGCGU
rnacentral:piRNA from 1 species